rnacentral:rRNA from 1 species
AGGGUUUGGAUCCUGGCUCAGAAUGAACGUUGGCGGCAUGGAUUAGGCAUGCAAGUCGAGCGAGAAGGUUUCUUUUGCUUGCAUUAGAAACCGGACAGCGGCGUAAGGGAGAGUAACGCGUAGAAACGUACCCCGAGGUCCGGGAUAGCGGCGGGAAACCGCCGGUAAUACCGGAUAAUGUCUCCGGACCAAAGUUUUUCGCCUCGGGAGCGGUCUGCGUCCUAUUAGCUUGUUGGUGGGGUAAUGGCCUACCAAGGCUAAGAUGGGUAGCGGGCGUGAGAGCGUGACCCGUCUCACUGGGACUGGGACACUGCCCAGACACCUACGGGUGGCUGCAGUCGAGAAUCUUCCGCAAUGGACGAAAAGUCUGACGGANCANUGCCGCGUGCGGGAUGAAAGCCNUUCGGG